rnacentral:rRNA from 1 species
UACGAAGGGGGCUAGCGUUGCUCGGAAUCACUGGGCGUAAAGGGCGCGUAGGCGGCGCGACAAGUCACUUGUGAAAUCUCCGGGCUUAACUCGGAACGGUCAAGUGAAACUGUCAUGCUAGAGUGCAGAAGGGCAAUCGGAAUUCUUGGUGUAGCGGUGAAAUGCGUAGAUAUCAAGAGGAACACCUGAGGUGAAGACGGGUUGCUAGGCUGACACUGACGCUGAGGCGCGAAAGCCAGGGAGCAAACGGG